UACAGGGGGGGCAAGCGUUGUUCGGAAUUACUGGGCGUAAAGGGCGCGUAGGCGGUUCGUUAAGUCCUGUGUGAAAUCCCCCGGCUCAACUGGGGAACUGCACAGGAAACUAGCGGGCUUGAGUUCGGGAGAGGGAAGCGGAGUUCCGGGUGUAGCGGUGAAAUGCGUAGAUAUCCGGAGGAACACCGGUGGCGAAGGCGGCUUCCUGGACCGACACUGACGCUGAGGCGCGAAAGCUAGGGGAGCAAACGGG
rnacentral:rRNA from 1 species